rnacentral:rRNA from 1 species
CCUACGGGAGGCAGCAGUGAGGAAUAUUGGUCAAUGGCCGCAGGGCUGAACCAGCCAAGUCGCGUGAGGGCUGACGGUCCUAUGGAUUGUAAACCUCUUUUGUCAGGGAGCAAAGGGCGCCACGUGUGGCGCUUUGCGAGUACCUGAAGAAAAAGCAUCGGCUAACUCCGUUCCAUCAGCCGCGGUAAUACGGAGGAUGGGAGCUGUAUCAGGAUUUAUUGGGUUUAAAGGAUGUGCAGGCGGAAUGUCAAGUCAUCUGGAAAAUUUUGGGGCUCAACCCCGUCGUGCCCGUGAAACUGGCGUUCUUGAGUGAGCGAGAAGUAUGCGGAAUGCGUGGUGUAGCGGUGAAAUGCAGAGAGAUCACGAAGAACUCCGAUUGCGAAGGCAGCAUACUGGCGCUCAACUGACGCUCAUGCACGAAAGCGUGGGUAUCGAAUAGGAUUAGAUACCCGAGUAGUC